CCUAAAAUAAAAAUUACAAAAGAAACAUAGAAAUGCCUUGGUGACUUUCUGGAUGAGAAGGAGAUGGAAAAAUCAGUGAUGAUGGGUCAAAUGGGGGCCUCAGCCAUGAACCAAGUGAUGGGCGAGAGAAGAAAUCUUUCCUCUCCUACAAAAUAAAGCUCACCCCGCCCCCCAUCCUGUGCCUAUAAAGACCCCAGAUUCAGUUGGUAGAGGGAAAGAAGCGGCUUGACUGGAGAGAGGCGACUUGACUUCAGAGGGAUGGCUGGACUCCGGAAGAGAGAUGGCUGGACUUGCGGGAAUAGCCAGCCAGAAACAGGCAGACUUUGGGGUAAGAUUACCUGCCCGUCCCAUCCCUUCUCCAGCUCCCAUGUCUGCUGAGAGCCAUUUCCAUCGCUUAAUAAAAUUCUCCACCUUCAAUAUCCUUCAA